rnacentral:misc_RNA from 1 species
AGGACCUCGCCUCCUCACCACCAGAAAUCACUCUCCCAACUACUGCUUCAUCCUCGUUGUAAACGUCGACAGACACAACGUUGAGUGUUACAUCGGCACUUUGCUACGAAGACGAAGACGAUCGUAGAGCAACGAGGAGAUUACUUCGCUCGUUUGUAUCGAAUACGAAACUAACGACACUCGAGUGGCCCUUUUGUAGAGUCGCCUUCGGAGUCUCGGCUUAACAAUCUUCGACGAGCUGUCGAGGAAGCACCCAACCAGCGACGUGCUUUCCUCGGAUCUUCCAGUGCAAGCUCGAACGCAGAAACGAGUCUCGUCUCAUGGCAGCCGACUGGAAUCGUGGCAAUAUUUCCCGCCAGAUCCACCAGCGACUUCUCCACAGUCAUGGUUUGAGGAGCUUCCAUGACAGGGACCGCGUGUAAGGGAUUUUCUUGGAGCAGUGCGUGAGUGAUACGACGAGGAGGGUGAUUGUGAAAAUUUAUCAGUGUUCGAGGACCGUCAAGGUAUUGUACGGCCAGUGAAUCGUGUGAUUGGAAUAAACAGUCCUGUUUAUCAGUUUUAUUAUACCAGAGGAAACGGAGAAGCAGACUUUCCGGCAAUAGUUACAUCGGUAAACGCAAAAGAGGCGCUUGGAAAAACUUUGUGUCUGCGUUAUUAAAAUCUUCGUAGUUCGACUUUAGAAGAAUCACAGUGCUAUCGAAGAAUAAGCGCAACUGCAUGUGGCUCAUAGAGGAACGUUCACGAGGAAGUCGAUAGAUGACCGACCUUGAAGGUGGAGGCAACGUGUCACGACCGCCAGGUGUCGGCAGCUACGGAAUAGUGAGCUCGCGUUACUAAUACGAAAUCAGAGACAAGUGGGUGGUAGUGUCGCGUCGAUAAUAUUCAUCAGAUGUCACUUGAAGCGUGUCCGCCGCGAGUCCACUUAGAUUGGUAGUUUUAAAAUAAUAGUGGGAGACUACUUGCGGGAUUCAGUUUGCUGGUGGCAGCAGCGGCACGAAGGACGAAGCCUGUUGCCCCAGGAGGGUUCUUACGGCCUCACCACGCGUUCCGACGAGUGGAGCGGUCUCCUGCCCAGCUCCACUAUCGUGGGUGCUGGGGGGUCACCAUGGCUGGGACUUGGUGCCGGCGGUGGAACCGGUGCCACCGGAGGUGGGGGCAGCCCCGUCGAGCUCGAGGGACACUGGGGCAGAAAGUUGUAUGGUGCGAGCGUCGCACCACCUCCGCCCCCGCCUCAUCAUCAUCCACGAGCACCCCUAGUUUUUGCGCCCCAGGACAUGCGACAAAUACUCAAGGAGGAACCGGUGCCCCGUGCUUGGCCUCAGCCAACGCUAGCUGACAAUGCAUCAGUUGGAAUCGGCAAAGCACAUUUUGAGAAGCAGCCACCGAGCAAUCUGAGGAAGAGCAAUUUCUUCCACUUCGUGAUCGCGCUUUACGACAGGGUUGGUCAACCGAUCGAGAUCGAGAGAACAGCCUUCAUUGGUUUCGUUGAGAAGGAUCAAGUGAGUCAAGAAUCCGAGGGUCAAAAAACCAACAACGGAAUCCAAUACAGGCUCCAGCUGCUCUACGCCAAUGGUCUCAGACAGGAACAGGACAUUUUCGUGAGGCUCAUCGACUCCUCGACGAAACAGGCGAUAAUGUACGAGGGGCAGGAUAAGAACCCGGAAAUGUGCCGUGUCCUAUUGACCCACGAGGUUAUGUGCAGUCGUUGCUGUGAUAAAAAAAGUUGCGGAAAUCGGAACGAGACGCCCAGUGAUCCGGUUAUCAUCGAUCGAUUUUUUCUCAAAUUCUUCCUCAAGUGCAAUCAAAACUGUCUGAAAAACGCCGGGAAUCCAAGGGACAUGAGACGAUUCCAGGUUAUAAUAUCGACGCAAGUUUGCGUGGAAGGACCCCACCUGGCUAUUUCGGAAAACAUGUUCGUUCACAACAACAGUAAACAUGGAAGGAGAGCAAAAAGACUGGACCCGAGUGACCAUGGCGAAUACAACAGCCUGUAUCCAGCACUCCCCCUUCAAACACCCUGCAUAAAAGCGAUAUCGCCAAGCGAGGGUUGGACGUCCGGAGGCUCGACCGUAAUUAUCAUCGGCGAACACUUUUUCGACGGGCUGCAAGUAGUCUUCGGAUCGAUGCUUGUCUGGAGUGAGUUAAUAACCGAUCAUGCCAUCAGAGUUCAAACACCACCUCGACAAAUACCUGGAGUCGUCGAGGUAACGCUGUCCUAUAAGACCAAACAAUUUUGCAAAGGUUCACCCGGGAGAUUCGUUUAUGUUUCACUCAAUGAACCAACGAUCGACUACGGUUUCCAGAGGUUACAAAAACUGGUCCCCCGGCAUCCGGGCGAUCCAGAAAAGCUACCAAAAGAAAUAAUAUUGAAAAGAGCAGCCGAUUUGGCGGAGGUACUUUAUAGCAUGCCGAGGAGCGGUAAUACGUCCAUAUCGGGUACACCGGGUAGUCCUGGUUCGGGUCAUCCCACAGCGCCACCAACGUCGAGUUCGGGAACGGGAUUUAAUUCGUACACGGGUCAACUUGCUGUAACUGUGCAGGAGAACGGCAGCGCGGCCAAAUGGACCGACGACGGUAGUUCCGUGACAACGGGUGGCGGAGGUGGAGGCAACGGCGGUGGUGGCGGCGGAAACGGAGGUAACGGUAGCGUCGGUGGCAACAAUGACGUCUACAGGCAAAGCAGUAGCGCAAGUCCGCGAGGUGUCGUUACCGGAGGUGGUUAUUGCGGAAGUUCAGCCAGUACGCCUCACAGUCAUAGCACGAAUGGAAGUUAUUCUACGGCGAAUCCGUAUACCGGAAGCCCGACUCUUUACACAUCACCGCACGAACAAUAUGGCAUUUUCUAUUCGUCCGGGGACGGGAGCGCAUUCGCCCCCGUAGUCCGACCACCGACCACCUCAGUCCCACCGCACUGGUCCACACAGCACCACCUCGCUACAGCUGCCCAGUAACCGCUAACCGUCCACUACCACCACAAUCAUCACCAUCACGAUAUCACCAACACCUUAAUGUACCGCGAUUAAAGAAUUAUCCGACAAUUUGCCAACGACUUUCGGAUUUCUGAAUGGUUAGGAGACGUCGUCAACACGUCGUUCAACGUGAACCCGUUUAUGUUGCCAGCGUGCAGUCAGGGCUACACGGACGCCUCGAGUCCUCUGCUUGCAUCAACUGGGAAACAC